rnacentral:lncRNA from 1 species
GCCACUGGUUUGCAUCCCUCGGCCAUUAAAGAAUGAAAUUAUAGCUUGAAAAUCCAUCCAAGCAGGAUAUGCAAUCAUACCAACCAUCUUCAAUGUUGCAUCAUGUGUUUGGGGCUGAUGCAGGGGCACAAUUUAAGAGCAUUGUGCAUGCGCAACACAUAACAGUUUCAUUUGAACAUACCAUAUAUUAUAUUUGGAAUGAUAAUUUACACUUAACAAAUGUAAAUUUAUACAAAAAUAUAGCAAGAUCUAUUUUGCAUUGUGACAAAAUGCAACAUAAAAAAAAUAAAAGCAAUGAUUAUUAGUUAUUAAAUCCAUAUAUAUUAAAAUUAUCAGACCUUUUUUUUAAACUGGUAUAUUUUUUGACCUUUGAAUAAAUUUCAAAUAUAAAUUAUAAAC